rnacentral:rRNA from 1 species
CCUACGGGAGGCAGCAGUGGGGAAUUUUGGACAAUGGGGGAAACCCUGAUCCAGCAAUGCCGCGUGAGUGAAGAAGGCCUUCGGGUUGUAAAGCUCUUUUGUCAGGGAAGAAACACCGGCUCUAACACAGUCCGGGAAUGACGGUACCUGAAGAAUAAGCACCGGCUAACUACGUGCCAGCAGCCGCGGUAAUACGUAGGGUGCAAGCGUUAAUCGGAAUUACUGGGCGUAAAGCGUGCGCAGGCGGUUAUACAAGACAGGCGUGAAAUCCCCGGGCUUAACCUGGGAAUGGCGCCUGUGACUGUAUAGCUAGAGUGUGUCAGAGGGGGGUAGAAUUCCACGUGUAGCAGUGAAAUGCGUAGAUAUGUGGAGGAAUACCAAUGGCGAAGGCAGCCCCCUGGGAUAACACUGACGCUCAUGCACGAAAGCAUGGGGAGCAAACAGGAUUAGAUACCCUGGUAGUCCACGCCCUAAACGAUGCUGACUAGUUGUUCGGGAUUUACAUCCUGAGUAACGUAGCUAACGCGUGAAGUCAGCCGCCUGGGGAUACGGUCGCAAGNUUAAAACGUCAAAGGAAUUGACGGCNGNGAGNGCGAGCGACGACGAGGGAGAGG